UCUUAUGUAACCCAAGAGAGGCAAGCUUAGCUGUAAGGCCCACCCAGUGGUCUUUCUGCCCUUCUGGCCUCCGGACAAGAGAGGUUACACCGGGGAGCCGACUUAAAGCCAGUGUGGUGUCCAGGCCGCCGGCUCCAGCACCAGGUCGGGAUGAGCCCAGAAUCUCCGGCGCGGGUGCGGGGAGGGGGUGCUUUAUCAACACCCGGGACUGAAAUGCUAAAACAGCCCCUACCUUUUACCCUGAGGUUGCUCCGGCUCAGAACACCGGCUGCUCAGCGUGCUCCUAAGACCCGCCUGGACCACCAGCGAUCUUCCAAGCAUGCCUCGAGAGCUGGUGCUGAGCAGUGCGGAGACGGAUGGUGGUCCCCCUGCCUGCACUGCCUUCAACCCAUCCUGCUGCCGGUGAUGCAAGCUGUGAGCUAAUGAACCACGAACGUGUUGACUCCGCGUGGGACUCUGGUGCGAACAAUCCGUCCUGUGGAAAGGCUACCCGCUGUUAGACAUGCCCAGUCCUUCAGGAGCCUUGCACCGUUAUCAUCCCUCUCACGCAGACCAGAAGAUCCUCUUCCUCAGGCCACACGUGACCGCCCCAAAGGCCAUUGGCAUGAAGACUUCAAAGAAUCCUCAUGAACAUCGAUGUCAUCGUGUUCAUCACCGACAAGUGUUUCGAUGUUUCUGGAAGGCAGACUUUGCAUUUUUGCUUGCUGAUGAACUCCACGACGGUGGUCACUAGAGUCCCCUGAACUCAGCUUCCUCGCCUAUAAAUUGGAAAUAAUUCCAAACCUGCCAGUUUGUACGGGGAUCAGGUGAGUCUUAAAGAAAGAGGACAUUUGGACGCGGACACACACAUAGAGAGAGAAUGCCUGGCGGACAUGGAGGCAGAGAUGAGGGUGAUCCAUCUACCACCAAGGAGCACCAGCGAUUACCAGAGAUGCCCCUGAAGCUGGGCCCGGCCUGGGCCAGGUCCCCUCACCUUCCUCCAGCGGGAAUCAGCCAGCCCUGUGGCACCUUGAUAUCAGACAUGCAGCC